rnacentral:rRNA from 1 species
UACAGAGGGUGCAAGCGUUGUUCGGAAUUAUUGGGCGUAAAGCGCGUGUAGGCGGCCAGACAAGUUGGGUGUGAAAGCCCUCGGCUUAACCGAGGAAGUGCGCCCAAAACUGUUUGGCUUGAGUACGGAGAGGAUGGUGGAAUUCCCGGUGUAGAGGUGAAAUGCGUAGAGAUCCGGAGGAACACCAGUGGCGAAGGCGACACGCUGGGCCGUACCCGACACUGAUGCGCGACAGCAUGGGGAGCAAACAGG